UCGAACGGGAUCAUCCUUCGGGAUGGUGAGAGUGGCGGACGGGUGAGUAACGCGUGGGAACCUGCCCAGUGGUGGGGGAUAACUGCGGGAAACUGCAGCUAAUACCGCAUGAGCCCGAGAGGGGAAAGAUUUAUCGCCAUUGGAGGGGCCCGCGUUCGAUUAGGUAGUUGGUGAGGUAAUGGCUCACCAAGCCGACGAUCGAUAGCUGGUCUGAGAGGAUGAUCAGCCACACUGGGACUGAGAUACGGCCCAGACUCCUACGGGAGGCAGCAGUGGGGAAUAUUGGACAAUGGGGGCAACCCUGAUCCAGCAAUGCCGCGUGAGUGAUGAAGGCCUUCGGGUUGUAAAGCUCUUUUGCCAGGGACGAUGAUGACGGUACCUGGAGAAUAAGCCCCGGCUAACUUCGUGCCAGCAGCCGCGGUAAUACGAAGGGGGCAAGCGUUG
rnacentral:rRNA from 1 species